GGACAUUUUCUGCACAAGUCCGCACAUUGGAAGCAUGCUUCUUCCAGUCAGGGCAGCUAUCUGCGGAGGAUUAGCACUGAAUAUGAUUGUAAAUUUAAAGUCAUCCAUUUUUUCUAGUCAUUAUUAUUAUUGUUACUAUACAUGACUGGAUCUUGCAGUUAUAUUGUAUUGGGUAUGAAUUUUGCACAGCUUUUAUCUUGUGCAUGUUGGAACAGCCUGACUAGGCCGCAUCGAUGUGGAAAAACACAAAAAUGAAGCUGCUGAUGAACUAGUGUUUCUGCACGUCCACGUGGGUCCCACAUGAAGCUUUAUUAUUAUGGAGCCGGAUCUGUGAACUAAAGCACAGGAUCCGAUUGCUGAAGAAAUGGAUUAAGGUGACACUCGAAUAAACACGUUUUUCUGUUAUUUUCCUGUUCAUUUUUCAAUAAAGCAUUAAUCCACAA